GUAAUACUCCAUACUCUUCAAAAAUAUGCUGGCUAUGAGUUGAUAAAACUCCCCUGAAAGUCUUCCCUUUUCCAGGAUGGUCUGGGUAGGUGCACUGUUCAACCUGCCUAAAGUCUAUUCCUAGUUUGUACCGGUGAAAUGGACACACAGUAAGGGACGAGUUGGUUGUAAACAACCCAACUCUGCGACACAGUAGGUCUGCCUCGGAACCUAAAUCAACUGGGGAUUUUAUAGCUAGACCACCGACUCCCCCAACAGCCAACUUAAGAGUUCUUAGAUGGUU
rnacentral:lncRNA from 1 species